UUAAAUUUCCAGCCUUUACUUCACUAGUUGUUUCUGCACCAGUUGCCCAUUUUUGCUCCAUAGCCCCUUUCUGUGCAACUUCAGCGGCAGCUUUCUCUCUAGUUCUUGCAGCUUCCUUUUCCGCAGCUUCUUUAGCUGCCCUUUCAGCAGCAUCUUCUAAAGCUUUUUUUUGUGCUUCAGCUAAUUUUUCAGCCUUCAUUUUAGCCUGCAUUCAAUCAAAGGAAAACUUAUUAUACUACAGAAACGUAUUUAAGAAUCAAAAGCAGACAAAAGCCAUUUGUUAGUAGAGUUAUUAAAAUUCAAGAUUCAAUAUCAUUUUAAUAAAAGUAUGCAAUUCGUAAUUUGGUGAAAAAUCAAGAGAAA
rnacentral:lncRNA from 1 species